rnacentral:misc_RNA from 1 species
GAAAUCACCGGCCUAGCCGGUAUAAAAUUCUAUCCACCCUUGUGUGCAAAUAAUGGAAAAAGAGAGAAAAUUGGAUACUUUUUGUAUCCAACUUCUCUAAAUUUCUUUAUAAACUCCAUCAAAUUUUGAAUGAAAACAAUUUUUUUUUUAAUAAAAAAUAUUAUA